rnacentral:rRNA from 1 species
AUACGGAGGAUCCGAGCGUUAUCCGGAUUUACUGGGUGUAAAGGGAGCGCAGACGGCUAAGCAAGUCUGAUGUGAAAGUCAUGGGCUCAACCCAUGGAUUGCAUUGGAAACUGCGAAGCUGGAGUGUCGGAGGGGUAAGCGGAAUUCCUGGUGUAGCGGUGAAAUGCGUAGAUAUCAGGAGGAACACCGGUGGCGAAGGCGGCUUACUGGACGAUCACUGACGUUGAGGCUCGAAAGCGUGGGGAGCAAACAGGAUUAGAUACCCUGGUAGUCCACGCGGUAAACGAUGAAUACCAGGUGUCGGGGGGCGAAGCUCUUCGGUGCCGAAAGCAAACGCAGUAAGUAUUCCACCUGGGGAGUACGUUCGCAAGAAUGAAACUCAAAUGAAUUGGCGGGG